GAUGGACGAUGUUGAUGAUGAUGGUGAUGAUGAUGAUGAUGAUAACACAUAUCAACAUCAGCAUCAUCAUCAUCAUCACCAUCAUCAUCAUCAUUA
rnacentral:pre_miRNA from 1 species